UGGGUCCUAGGUGGAAUCCCCGAAAGGCGCACAACGAUUGGAGGAAAGCUGAGUCCGUCACGUGACGCCCACCGGGUGCGACGCCGAUCACGUGGUUACGGCGCGGGUCACGUGGGACUAGAAUCAACAGAUAUUUAGUGAUCCCGUAGCAUCUGCCAGGCACUACUCUAGGAGCCUGUAAUACGUUAGCGAAUGUGUGAAAGAAUCCGACCUCAUGGAGCUUCCAGUCUUGAGGAUUGGGAGGAAAAAGAGAGUGAAAAUUUUAUCCAUCCGGCUUGUCAGACCAAGAACCUUGAAGUCAUCGGACUUGACUUCUCUCACAUUCAGUCCGCCAGCAAAUACUUGAGGCUGUACCACUUCUCUCUGCCUUCACCACUGCCAGCCUGGGGCGAGCUACCGCCAUCGCCUCCCGGAACUGUUGCAGAAGCCUCCUACCCAGGAACGAGAGGGAUCGUUCAAAAAUGUAACUCACACCGUGUCACUGUGAUGAUCAGAAUCCACCAGUGAUUCGUCAUUUACUCAGAGUAAAACCCCAAAUCCCUGUAUAAAUCCAGUGCCAUUACCAUCUGCCGCUUCCCUCUCCAUUGUACUCUGCGACUCACUGCAUUCUACCCACACGGGCCUCCCUGUGUUUCCAGGACAUAGGAAGUUCCUUUCUCUGGUCCUUUGCUGUUUCUUUCCUGCAACACUUUCUCUCCUUUUAUCCACUUGGCUUAGUCCUCACCUCAUUCAAGCCUUUGCUCACAUGUCACCUUCCCAGUGAGGCCACCUCUGACCUCCUCAGUUAAGCCUGCCCAUCCGCCACCCACCUCAUCUCCCCGCUCCUUACUUCAUUGUCCUGCAUAGAAUUUUCACCAGCCAUUGAGCCAUAUAGUUUCCUUAUUUACUCAGUACUGUCUUUCCCUCACUAGAAUGUAGGAUCCAUGAACACAGUAUUUGUAUUGUUUUGUCCAGCGCUAUGCUCCUAGCUUCUAGGAUAGUGCCUGGCUUCCAGGAGGCAUUCCAUUAAAACCUGUCAAAUGGAUUAAGCACAUGAUUUCUCCAGGGAGCCAGAGAUGCAGACUGACAUUUACUGCAGAGAGUGAUUAGUCUCGUAAGAUGGGAAGGAAACCUAAGCUCAGAGGAGACAGAUCCAGGGAAGGAUCUCAGAGCAUCUGAUGUUUGACCUACAGUUUAGAGGAUGAGCAAGCGUUAGCAAGAGAAGGGACUUGGGGGACAUUCCGGGAAGUGAGGACGGCAACAGCAAAGAAAAACGGAGAAGAGAAACAGUUGGCGAACAGGGCGUCGGGCAUUCAACAACAUUAAUUGAGCACCACCUGUGUGCCGCAGCCCGCAGGAGCAACUUGAAUGAAAACAGAUGAGGCCCCUAUUCUAGUGGGUUGGACAUGAACAGUUAGCAAAAGAAAACAAAAACAAUCCCCUUGGGUAGUGGUAAGUGCAGUGUCGAUGAUAAAACUGUGAUCCGGUGGGGAGUGAGGUGCCGGUCAGUGCGGACCUCUCUAAAGGGCUGUCAGUCAAGAUUGCUAGGCCCCAGAGUCACGCAGUGCCUUUUUUCUUGGUCCGCGUGGCCCCAGAGGCAUGCAGGGCUUCAGGAUGGCUUCGUCUGAGAACUCGACAUGUCACCAACAACGAAGUUUCUGUCUUUCCACUCUAGCCUCCUCGUGGUUACCUUCCUCCUACAUUAGGGUGGGCUCUUCUCGUGAUCACAGGACGGCUGCCCCCAGCUCUAGGACCUACAUGUGUCCCAGGCCAUGUCCAAGGAGAAAAAUGUCUUCCCCGGCCGUGGGAUUCCCUCAGAGUGAACCGUUAUGGGGCAUGUGUCUCUGCCUCAGCCAAUGCCUGUGGUCAGCAGGGAGAGGAAGAAAUGGCCGUUGAGGCAGCCAGGACGGCCACUGCAGGAGAUGACAUGUGACCUGAGACCCGAAUGAAGAGAUAAAUGAGUGGAUAAAGAAGAUGGGGUGCAAACACGCAAUGGAAUAUUACUUAGCCAUGAAAAAGAACGAAAGCUUGCUAUUUGCAACAACACGGAUA